CCCCAAAGGUAAAACGACUUCGUCUCGGCGGAUGUAGCACCACAAUCCGGCGAGCUCCGGCGAACUGAAUAAGGAUCGAAAACUGAGCUAGAGGUGGAAUGCAGAAUGCAGACUAUUUUGUGAGUUGUGAGUUGUGAGUUGUGAGUUUUCAGAGUGAAUUCUAAAGCUCACCACACACCCAUAUUUAUAGAUGUUAAACCGAGUGUGAACGGAUCGGCAGUCAACUCCGGCGGCUGCGGUAGGUGGCCGCAAUCGUUGAACGCAGAAGUUGAAACAGUCAAUUCCGGCGGCUGCGGUAGGUGGCCGCAAUCA
rnacentral:lncRNA from 1 species